rnacentral:rRNA from 1 species
UACGAGUGGUGUAAACGUUAUUCGGAUUUAUUGGGCGUAAAGGGUGUGUAGGCGGUAUAUUAAGUCAAUUGUUAAAUUUCCUGGCCUAACCAGGAGUGAGCAGUAGAUACUGGUAUACUAGAGAUUGGAAGAGGGAAGUGGAAUUCUUGGAGUAGCAGUAAAAUGUGUAGAUCUCAAGAGGAACACCGAUGGCGAAGGCAGCUUCUUGGUCCAUUUCUGACGCUGAGACACGAAAGCGUGGGGAGCAAACAGG